UAUAAUGCAGAGUGUGUGUGUGUAUAUAAUGCACACACUCUGCAUUAUAUACACACACACACUCUGCAUUAUAUA